UCUAUAUCUAUAUCUAACGUAAGUAUCUAUACUAAUCUAAUAUUCUGCCCCGUGUGCUGGGAGGCGCGCGGUAUAUAUACAAACAUAAUCAGCGUCUUAAUUGCUGACGGCUGACAGCACUUCAGACACACGUGAAAUAACAGCCAAUGAAAGAACAGGGAGGAAACAUAACAAAAGCACGUGUCCAAAUGUCACGGUUGUCAACAAAGGAAAAGUAGGUGCUCGCGCACCUUGCUCGUGCACGCGCGCUCACAUGCUCCACAGCGCGCUGCAUAAAGGGGAAACCGUGACAAGUAGUUAGGAACUGGGCUGAGAAACAAGAGAUUAGGGAUUAAACGCUGUUCUCUCUCUGCUGAUAUUCCGACAGAAGUCACAGGACACACAGGUGGUUCAGUGCUGUUCCCCUGCUCCUGCUCUGACCUGCACACCAAACCUCAGAUAUUCACCUGGUGGACCUUCAGAACAGGACGUGCGACAGAAGUGUUAAAUGAUGAACACUACCGUGGCAGACUUCAGCUGUUUAAUCACAUUUCUCCUGCUAAUCUGUCUCUGUUCAUAUCUGACCUGAGAGAAGAGGAUGCGGUAGACUACAGGUGCAGCGCUGAGAAGGACCACAGAGACAUCAAGCUUCAUGUUAAAGAAAAAAAAGAAACUUCAACAAGCUCCAGGAAAACAGACACAACACCUCCAUCAGAACCGCCUCAGAGUAAAACAACAAACUCUCCACCUGCAUCAUCCUCAACAACCCUGGAACAAGGUAAACAGCAAACACAGCAGCAAGGCUUUCAGUGCCAAAAUUUUUAAUCAGCAAUGAAACAACACAUCUUUUAUUACAUUUAUUUACUGAAUUAUAUCUCUGACAAUGUCUGGAUCUAUAAUAACUCAUAUUGUCAUGACUUCCCCUCGAGCUAGCGCUGUAGCACGCAGCGUGUUCGGAAACCCGAAGCGCGAGCCGAUGCAUGAGCUCUUAGCGAACGCACACUUUUGGGGCUUUUGGGGCUAGAAAGUCUUAGCUGAAAUCUGGGCCCCCUACAAGACCACAUUCUUACCCAGGUCAAACAUCUGGGGGUGAUCUUCGAUUCGGAAGUACAGUUUGACAAACAAAUUCUGUUGUCAGAGCUAGUUUUCCAGCUUAGGGGACUUUUGCAAGUUAAAAUAUUUUCUCAAAUUUAAAGAUCGUGAGACUGUUAUUCACACUUUUAUUUCAUUAAGGCUUGAUUACUGCAAUGCCCUGUAUGCUGGAAUUAGCCUGUCUUCAAUCUUGCGCUUGCAACUUGUACAGAACGCUGCAGCUCGCUUUUUGACUGGGACCAAAAAGAGAGAGUACGUAAGACCCAUCUUAGCCUCACUCCUAUUGUUUGUUUUUAAAGUCUUGCAUGGUCUCGCCCCAUAUAUAUUUCAGAUCUCCUCAGCUUUCGCUCUUCCACACGUUCGCUCAGAUCCUCCUCUCAGUUGUUACUGACCAUUCCAAACUCACGAUUACAAACCAAAGGCGAUAGGGCCUUUUCUGUAAUGGCACUGAUGCUUUGGAAUAGCUUGCCCCUCUCUACCAGAUCUUCCCCUACAAUAAAUUUAUUUUAAUCACCCUUUAUAUUAAACUUAUUUCUUCACGCAGGCUUAUCUAUAAUCUGCCCUGUCUAGCUGCUUAUUCUCUGGUCUUAGUUAUAUCUGGUUUGUUUUCUUAUAGUAAUUAUUUAUUUAUAUAUUUAUGUUAAUGAUAUUUUAUGUUCUAUUUUAAUGUAUUCCUUAUUAUGCAUGAUCUGCAGCACGUAGUUCAACAUUUGUGUUGUUUUAAAUGUGCUAUAUAAAUUAAUUUGACUUUGAAUCAUAUAAAGUGUAAUAGAAAAGUUCUUUUCCUGUAACUUGUAACUGUCACGUCUUCAUUCUGGUCUUAGCUGUAAAUAGAUGCGUGUGAAUUUCACACCUUUUUCUGCUGUCUCUCUGUCAGUGACCAUCUUCACUUCCUGCAUUACGAAUAAACAAACAAACAAUUAUCUGCUUGUUGCAUGUACCAAUUCUCAAAUUAUCCCAAAACGUAUUUUCCAUAUGAACUAAUAAUAUGGAAAUUUAAUUGAAUAAUUUAAUUUCCAUAUUCAUUAAUAAUCAUUCAUUCUUAUUAAUACAGUACAUGUUUUCAUUAAUGACUGUGAGCAUGCUUCACUCCAGUGUCAUGUGCCAUAUUACUAACAGUGAUAAAAACAGUCAUUAGUUUUAAUAAGUUUUGUCUUUUCUGUAGGAAGAAGAGAAACUUCAACACACUCGAGGAAAACAGACACAACACCUCCAUCAGAACCGCCUCAGAGUAAACCAACAAACUCUCCACCUGCAUCAUCCUCAACAACACUGGAACAAGAUAAACAGCAAACACACAGCAGCCUCCCUCUAGUUUUCGGCAUUCUGGUGGUUUUACUGCUGGUGAUACCCGGAGUAGUGGCAUUUAUUUGUUGGAAACGCAAAGGAGGAAGAUGUGGAGAGAACGUGAUUACUGAAGGACGUCCGGACUGUAAGAGAAAGCAGAAGGAUCAGACUGAACCUGAUGUUACUUACUCUACUGUAACCCACAUGAACACAGCCGGAGCAGCACGGGUCCAGAUCAACGCUGGAGACAAAACUGAAUAUGCCAGCAUUCUAACAAUCUAAUCCACAGUAAAUAUCUAGAAUAAUACUGAAUACAUGCAGUAUAUUAAAUACACACCAUGGGAAGCAUGAUGAGCAUGUUACUGUGACUUUUUUUUAUUUGACCAUAAAUAGCAGAUUUAAUCAUAUUUGUGUGCUGAUGGAUAAUCCUGCAAAUUCUAUUUUUAAUGUUUGUGUCAUUUAUUAUCAUUUAUUAUUUUAUAUAAUUUGUUUUUUUAUUUACAUUUAUGACAUUUAGCAGACGCCCUUAUCCAGAGCGACUUACAUUUAUCUCAUUUAAACAGCUGAUCAAUUGAAGGUUAAGGGCCUCGCCCAAAAGUCCAACAAUGGUAGCUUGGCAGUGCUGCGGCUUGAACUCCUGACCUUCUGAUCAGUAAUCCAGAGACUUUAACCACUGAGACACCACUUAUAUGUUCUAGAAAUCUUUUGUCAUCACCCUGUUUUGCGUAAUACGACUGCCGUAGAAGUUCUUGUUUGUGACUGUCGUGGGAAAGUCUCUCUGGACUGAAUGUGUGUUUCUAAACUAGUUGUGGUGAAACUGUUGUGAAAACGGUCCUUAUAGCAUGUUAAAGGGUGCAUGAUAGUGUGCUUGUUGAGUGUGGAGUAUCACACAGCAUUCUCUGUGCAUGGCAUAACUGUCAUUAACUUUGAGAAAGAGGAAGUAGCCAUUUUCCCAUCAGUCCCCACUGCUCUGCCCUGGUCUUGCAGUCCCUCUGACAUGCUGAGUGUCUCACAGUGGCUCUGAAGUACCAUGAGAACGCUAGUUAUGCAUGAAACUGUGGUUUUAUAAACUGCUAAUACUUGUCAGAGGCGUGUGUAUGACCUUGCAACAAAGUCAUAAAGUGACAUGAUUGUAAUUUAGCAUCCUGCAUAAUAUCUUAAAGAGGGGCCUUAAAGGACUCUAGCACAUGUGAGGAGGGGAAUUGCUGUUACACCUGCUGUCAGUCCUUAAUAAUGUCUGCCACUUGUCAGAGUGCAUGAAUCGUGCAUGAACCGCUGACAUGAACCAAUCCUGUGGUUGCACGGUAUAGAUUACAUCUGACACCCUUAGCAGUCAGUCUUUUAGCACAGAGCAAAUCUCACAUUGCCUGGAACAUAGCAUCCUCUUUUCCAUAAAGAGAAGAAGAGAAGGAAACUUAUGGACUAUGGCUUAUAAACAACAUGGUGCAGCUAUAGGGUUAAUUAAUUUAUUUAUUAAUUCCUCUUCAGCAACUGUUUUAUCCUGGUCAGUGUUGUCAUGGAUUCGGACUCUAUCCCAGCAACACUGGGCACAAGGUGGGAGAAUUCAGAUGGGAUGCCAGUCCAUCUCAGAGCACCAUUCACACACAUUCACACCCAGGGGCAAUCUAACAUAGUAAACCUGCAUGUUUUUAGACAGUGGGAGGAAACGGCACACACAAACACAAGGAGGACGUGCAAACCUCUGCACAGACAUUAACAUGAUUUCAUUUAAUGAUCUAUAAGGAUCUUGUUGACUGCACAAUCAUGUCUACACUCUUAUUUUCUGUUUAUGUCAUAUUCUAAGUCUUCCAGGCAUCUCACCAGGUCUAAACAUUUUUUUCUGUUUUCUUUACGUUAAGUUUCUUGCUCUUCUUGGUUUUGCUUGUGCACACACUUCUUAAAUAAUAUAAUAUUUGCAUCAUUUGAAAAUAUAUUAAAGCUUUUACUUGAAAUAUUUGUCAAAUUCCUGUAGCUUGUUUGUAGCUUAUGUAUUUUCAUACUAU